rnacentral:rRNA from 1 species
AGGGUUUGAUUAUGGCUCAGAAUGAACGCUGGCGGCACGCUUAACACAUGCAAGUCGAACGAGAUCUUCGGAUCUAGUGGCAGACGGGUGAGUAACGCGUGGGAACCUGCCCUUUAGUAGAGAAUAACUCGGGGAAACUCGAGCUAAUACUUUAUACGCCCUUCGGGGGAAAGCUUUAUGCGCUAUUGGAUGGGCCCGCGUUAGAUUAGUUUGUUGGUGAGGUAACGGCUCACCAAGGCUACGAUCUAUAGCUGGUCUGAGAGGAUGAUCAGCCACACUGGGACUGAGACACGGCCCAGACUCCUACGGGAGGCAGCAGUGGGGAAUAUUGGACAAUGGGGGCAACCCUGAUCCAGCGAUGCCGCGUGAGUGAUGAAGGCCUUAGGGUUGUAAAGCUCUUUUGUCAGGGAAGAUAAUGACGGUACCUGAAGAAUAAGAUCCGGCUAACUCCGUGCCAGCCGCCGCGGUGAUUC